rnacentral:rRNA from 1 species
AUACGUAGGUGGCAAGCGUUGUCCGGAAUUAUUGGGCGUAAAGCGCAUGUAGGCGGUUUGGUAAGUAGGACGUGAAAAUGCGGUGCUUAACGCCGUAUGGCGAUCGAUACUGCUGAACUUGAGUUCAGGAGAGGAAAGGGGAACUCCCAGUGUAGCGGGGAAAUGCGUAGAUAUUGGGAAGAACACCGGUGGCGAAGGCGCCUUUCUGGACUGUGUCUGACGCUCAGAUGCGAAAGCCAGGGUAGCGAACGGGAUUAGAUACCCCGGUAGUCCUGGCCGUAAACGAUGGGUACUAGGUGUGGGAGGUAUCGACUCCUUCCGUGCCGGAGUUAACGCAAUAAGUACCCCGCCUGGGGAGUACGGCCGCAAGGCUUAAACUCAAAUGAAUUGACGGGG